CAACCAGAUUCCUCCCCUAAAGAAGCCCCUGGGAGCACAGCUCAUCACCAUGGACUGGACCUGGAGGUUCCUCUUUGUGGUGGCAGCAGCUACAGGUGUCCAGUCCCAGGUCCAGCUGGUGCAGUCCGGGGCUGAGGUGAAGAAGCCUGGGUCCUCAGUGAAGGUCUCCUGCAAGCUUUCUGGAGGCACCUUCAGCAGCUAUGCUAUCAGCUGGGUGCGACAGGCCCCUGGACAAGGGCUUGAGUGGAUGGGAGGGUUCAUCCCUAUCCUUGGUACAGCAAACUACGCACAGAAGUUCCAGGGCAGAGUCACGAUUACCGCGGACGAAUCCACGAGCACAGCCUACAUGGAGCUGAGCAGCCUGAGAUCUGAGGACACGGCCGUGUAUUACUGUGCGACAGACACAGUGUGAAAACCCACAUCCUGAGAGUGUCAGAAACCCUGAGGGAGAAGGCAGC